UUUUAAUUUAUAUCUGUAGCCUGGGAAAACCCUGACAAACGUCCAGCAAAUUUGAGAUAUGCACUGCAAGUCAGUCUGGCCAAGAGCCCAUUCAAGGCCAUUUUACGUUUUUCCAAAACAAGGCACCAAUCACAACCGUUGAGCUUUACACGAUGACGAUGGCGCAGUGACGGCAAUCAGCUUUUUGUUUACAUUUAACAUGACGACCACCGAAGUACAGCAACCCGUUGAUGCCGCUGUCGCUGCUGCGUCCCCUGGAUCGUUUGAUUGGUUAAAUGACUAUCCAAAUGUGCCCAGAGGCUUUUGAGCCUCAUCCGUUUCUGACGCCCCUUUGGAAAUGGGCUGUGAAUGAACCUUCUUCAUACCCUUCUCAGUUACAACCCAAAAGGGUCUGGUGUCAACCAGGCUAACAGAGGAGUGAAGAAAGGAGACAAUAUCUUCAUUAUAAAAAAUGAC